ACGGAAGGCAGCAGUAGGGAAUAUUGCACAAUGGGGGAAACCCUGAUGCAGCAACGCCACGUGUGGGAAGAAGCAUUUCGGUGUGUAAACCACUGUCGUGAGGGAAUAAUGCUUAAUUUCGGUUAAGUUGAAUGUACCUCGAAAGGAAGCACCGGCUAAAUACGUGCCAGCAGCCGCGGUAAUACGUGUGGUGCAAGCGUUAUCCGGAUUUACUGGGUGUAAAGGGAGCGUAGACGGCAUGGCAAGCCAGAUGUGAAAGGCAGGGGCUCAACCCCUGGACUGCAUUUGGAACUGUCAAGCUAGAGUAUCGGAGAGGUAAGUGGAAUUCCUAGUGUAGCGGUGAAAUGCGUAGAUAUUAGGAGGAACACCAGUGGCGAAGGCGGCUUACUGGACGAUAACUGACGUUGAGGCUCGAAAGCGUGGGGAGCAAACAGGAUUAGAUACCCUGGUA
rnacentral:rRNA from 1 species